rnacentral:rRNA from 1 species
ACGAACGCUGGCGGCGUGCCUAAUACAUGCAAGUCGAGCGGACAGAAGGGAGCUUGCUCCCGGAUGUUAGCGGCGGACGGGUGAGUAACACGUGGGUAACCUGCCUGUAAGACUGGGAUAACUCCGGGAAACCGGAGCUAAUACCGGAUAGUUCCUUGAACCGCAUGGUUCAAGGAUGAAAGACGGUUUCGGCUGUCACUUACAGAUGGACCCGCGGCGCAUUAGCUAGUUGGUGAGGUAACGGCUCACCAAGGCGACGAUGCGUAGCCGACCUGAGAGGGUGAUCGGCCACACUGGGACUGAGACACGGCCCAGACUCCUACGGGAGGCAGCAGUAGGGAAUCUUCCGCAAUGGACGAAAGUCUGACGGAGCAACGCCGCGUGAGUGAUGAAGGUUUUCGGAUCGUAAAGCUCUGUUGUUAGGGAAGAACAAGUGCAAGAGUAACUGCUUGCACCUUGACGGUACCUAACCAGAAAGCCACGGCUAACUACGUGCCAGCCGCCGCGGUAAUACGGUCAUAGCUG